GACAGAGGUGCCAAGCGUUAGGCGGAAUCACUGGGCUUAAAGCGUGUGUAGGCGGAAUGGUAAGUACCUUGUGAAAUCCCACGGCUCAACCGUGGAACUGCUUGGUAUACUGCUUUUCUUGAGCCACUUAGGGGCAACCGGAACAAACGGUGGAGCGGUGAAAUGCGUAGAUAUCGAGAGGAACACCUGCGGCGAAGGCGGGUUGCUGGGCUGACACUGACGCUGAGGAGCGAAAGCGUGGGGAGCGAACAGG
rnacentral:rRNA from 1 species